CACCGGCGGCUCGAGUGGUAACCGCUAUUAUUGGGUCUAAAGGGUCUGUAGCCGGCCGAAUAAGUCCCUUGGGAAAUCUGGCAGCUUAACUGUCAGGCCUUCAGGGGAUACUGUUUGGCUUGGGACCGGGAGAGGUGAGAGGUACCUCAGGGGUAGGGGUGAAAUCUUGUAAUCCUUGAGGGACCACCAGUGGCGAAGGCGUCUCACCAGAACGGAUCCGACGGCAAGGGACGAAAGCUAGGGGCACGAACCGGAUUAGAUACCCCCGUAGUCC
rnacentral:rRNA from 1 species